rnacentral:snRNA from 1 species
UCAUCAAGCGGCUCUCAUG